rnacentral:lncRNA from 1 species
GGUCUUUUGUUCCUGGUGUAAGUGUUGCCACGGUGAGACUCACCCAUAAAAUUAAAUAAUCCAUGAGAGGUGAAAUGUGCAGUGGUGUUUCAUGAAGCAGCAAAACACAACUUUAAUAAUUCGGAAGAGAUUAAAAAUGAAGAGCCAAAACAGCAAUUCACGCGGCUUGUAUUAGGUAGAAUACGGUUAGUAUGAGUGGGGCCCAACAUGGGAAUCUCAGUAACAAACUCAAAACCACAGUCCUGUACCAGACCUCAAAUAAAGUAACCAGACAGGAGAUGAUAAGAAAGCAGAGAAACAAAUUCUUUAAAAAGCAAAGUAAAAAGCUCCUCUUUCUCAUAACAAACCCUUUGCAAUGAUUUUCAUUUAAUUCACCGGCUUUUUUUUAAUUUUUUUUUCCUGAUUUGAUUGUUUUGGUAACUGAAGCAGACAAAUUUAAGGUCCAAAAAUGUAUGAGGAGAUCGCAGAUUUCUUUGAUCCCAACUCCAUGACUGAAGAUGCUGCUGUAGCAUCAAUGGAGAAAACUUAACCCCAU